rnacentral:tRNA from 1 species
GCAGUGGUGGUUCAGUGUUAGAAUUCUCGGCUUCCAUGUGGGAGACCCAGGUUCGAUUCCUCACCAGUGCA